rnacentral:lncRNA from 1 species
AUGGGGGUCCCAUUGCAAGACCUAGCCCGGGCCGGACUCGCACUUCCGGGCCCGCACUUCCGGACCCGCCUGCGGGGCAUUCUGGGAAGCGGGGCCACGCCCACCGCGCAGGCCACGGGGAAGCGGCGGAGGCGGUUGCGCGCGCCGUUACCGGAGCAGUCUCGUCCCUCGCCUGCUGGGGGCUUCGCUUUGAAAGCCGCGUGGAGUUUAUAUCGUCCAACUCGCCGGGUCCUACCGAGCGCCAUACCCCGCACGUGUGUUUUCUCCUUUAAUCGUCACGGCCAGCCUCUGAGGGAUCUUCUAAUCCCCACCGCACAGUGCAGCUAUGGCUCGGGGUCCCAAGAAGCACCUGAAGCGUGUAGCAGCUCCAAAGCACUGGAUGCUGGAUAAGCUGACCGGCGUGUUUGCCCCUCGUCCGUCUACUGGUCCCCACAAGCUGAGGGAAUGUCUCCCUCUAAUCAUUUUCCUAAGAAACCGACUUAAGUAUGCCCUAACAGGAGAUGAAGUGAAGAAGAUUUGCAUGCAGCGUUUCAUUAAGAUCGAUGGCAAAGUCCGCACCGAUGUAACCUACCCUGCUGGUUUUAUGGAUGUCAUCAGCAUUGAUAAGAUUGGAGAGAAUUUUCGUUUGAUCUAUGACACCAAGGGUCGCUUUGCUGUUCAUCGUAUUACACCUGAGGAGGCCAAGUAUAAGUUGUGCAAAGUGAGAAAGAUCUUCGUGGGAACAAAAGGAAUCCCUCAUCUGGUAACCCAUGAUGCUCGCACCAUCCGUUACCCUGAUCCCCUCAUCAAGGUGAAUGACACCAUUCAGAUUGAUCUGGAGACCGGCAAGAUUACUGAUUUCAUCAAGUUCGACACUGGUAACCUGUGCAUGGUGACUGGUGGUGCUAACCUGGGAAGAAUUGGCGUGAUUACCAACCGGGAGAGACAUCCAGGUUCUUUUGAUGUAGUUCAUGUGAAAGAUGCCAAUGGCAACAGCUUUGCCACCCGGCUUUCCAACAUUUUCGUUAUUGGCAAAGGCAACAAGCCAUGGAUCUCUCUUCCCCGUGGAAAGGGUAUUCGCCUUACCAUUGCUGAGGAGAGAGACAAGAGGCUGGCAGCCAAACAGAGCAGUGGAUAAAAUGAUCUUUAUGUAACAUGAUUGGAAAAGUCUUUGUACUUAGUUAAAGAUAAUAGCACAUAAAAAAAUAAAGUUGUUUCCAGUCUGCUGCCAACAAUA